rnacentral:rRNA from 1 species
GCUACACGGUUAAAAAUUAAACGAGUCAAAAAUAAAGCUUGAAACAUCAAAAAGUUAAGUAAUGGAGAAAGAAAGUUAAUAAAAAUUUUAAAAAGUACUGUAAAGGAAAAAACCAAAUAUAAAAAAAUUAGUUUAGUUUUGCGUACUUUUUGCAUCACGGCUUAGCAAGAAGUAACCUGAGAUUUCAGAUUCUCGAAAGUUAGUCGAGCUAUUUUUUUCUGGGUAAGUUAGGCCCAAGAAAGUAAAACAAACUACUAAAAAUGUAGCAAAAUUUUAGUAAAAGAGAAAAAUAGAAAUGAAAUUUUAUUCGUGCUAACGGUAGCUAGUUUUCUUGGAAGCGUAUAGAAGUACGGAAGUAAGAUCAGACUAUAAAAAUACUAACUUUUAUAGCCUGCCUUAUAUAAAAUUCUUUUAAGGAUAAGCUUAAAAGUAGAUAGUAGUAAAUAUCUUUAAAUCUGUGAUGUGAGCCUGAGAUUAGCUAACAUUUUAAACUUGUUAUAAAGUAAUAUUAAAAAACAAAAAAAUAAAUAUAUUUUUACUCUAGCUUAUACAGGGACAAAAAAUGAAACCAUUUAAUUUAUUAGCUUAUGCUAAGAUGAGUAUUAAAACUAAAAUAUACCUUAAGAGUUUAACUAUUUUAAUUCUUAUUAACUAGAGUUUUUACCUAAACUAAGUAAAAAGAAAGGAACUCGGCAAAAUAAGUUGUUUCGCCUGUUUAUCAAAAAACAUGGCUCUUCGUAGCAAAAAAAAUGAAGAGUCGGACCUGCCCAGUGAAAAUUUUUAACGGCCGCGGUACUCUGACCGUGCAAAGGUAGCAUAAUCAUUUGCCUUAUAAUUGAAGGCUUGUAUGAAUGGUUUAACGAGAGCAACACUGUCUCCUUUUUAAUUAAUAGAACUUAACCUUCAGGUGAAGAGGCCUGAAUUAAAUUGAAGGACAAGAAGACCCUGUUGAGCUUAAAAGAAAGGUAGAAAGUAAGCUAUUAGCUAUAAAUGCACUACUACUAUAAACUUUUUGGUUGGGGCGACUAAGGAACAAAAAAAGCUUCUUUACACAAAUAAAUUUAUAAAUAGUGAUCCAGUAAAUCUGAUUAAAAGAAUUAGUUACCACAGGGAUAACAGCAUAAUCUCUCUUGAGAGGCCUAAUCGAAAGAGGGGGUUGUGACCUCGAUGUUGGACUAGAAUAUCCUAAAGGCGCAGAAGUCUUUGAAGGUUGGUCUGUUCGACCAUUAAAAUUCUACAUGAUCUGAGUUC